rnacentral:rRNA from 1 species
UACGAAGGGGGCUAGCGUUGCUCGGAAUUACUGGGCGUAAAGCGCACGUAGGCGGCUUUUCUAAGGUCGGGGGAUGAAAUCCUGGAGCUCAACUCCAGAACUGCCUUCGAUACUGGAGAGCUUGAGUCCGGAAGAGGUGAGUGGAACUCCUAGUGUAGAGGUGGAAUUCGUAGAUAUUAGGAAGAACACCAGUGGCGAAGGCGGCUCACUGGCCCGGUACUGACGCUGAGGCACGAAAGCGUGGGGAGCAAACAGG